UUCAAAUGCUUCAGACUACGCAUGCGCAAACUGGCAAAAAUCUGGCGGUGAAGUUGCCAACGGUUCGUCUUGAGACUUGACUUGAGAGAGGUCCUGAUGAGAGAGUGAGUCCUGAUUUAUGCUUCCUCCUGUCUGCCCAUUGCACUGUACUCGUAACAGAUCCUGGGUGUGAUAGCUGUUUCCUAACUCCACUCCACUGAUUUGGUGUAGACGGCACUGCUGAGCUUGCCUGUGGUAUGUUAACAGUUAGACUUUUCUUUCUUAAAAAUGUUUUACAAAUUAAGUUUACUUUACCAAUAUAUCCUUUGUGUUUUUUGUCUGUUUUUUGCCCCCCUCCCAGAUUUGAAUGUGGCAGUGUAAAGGUUGCAGUUCAAAGACCUCAACUAGAGGCCAGUUGCUUAAACAUUACAGAUUAAAACAUCCCCAUUAUGGGCGCAGGCACCCAUAUCCUUGUCCAUAUAGUAGUUGUCCAUGUACAUCUAAGUCAUGGAAUGCGCUCAGGUCACAUUUGUGUAGAGUCCAUACUAGAGAAACAUCACGGCAAACAUUGACAUCGGCGACAUUCAGCUGUCGUGUUUGUGGGUUCUCUGAAGUUGCCUCUGAAAAGGAGUAUUUCACUCAUAUAAAUUUGCAUCUCAAAGCCAAUGAAACAGUCCCCUGUAUGUUCAAGGGUUGUACAUUUAGGACAAAUAUUUAUGGGACAUAAAUUUCACAUAGAAAUAGAAAGCACCUUGGUUAUUCUUACAGUGACUUUAAACCUGGAAUAGUUACAGAAAGAGACAGUUUUGAAAGCUCAAGUGUUUCAGGUGAACAUGGAGACAAUGAAGAAUCAGAAGAAGCCCAGCUUGAAGUGCAGUCUAGUUUUCAGAGAGACUGCUCAGAAAAUCUUGAGAAGAUGAUAGAAGAGAAACUUGCAGCAGUGUUGCUUAAGCUGGAAAACAUACUCCAUGUUCCCAGUAAUGCAGUUGAUGAGCUUUUACAGGACUUGCACUUCCUAAUGAGUUCUGCAUCCCAGACUACAUUAAAUGCCAUUAUUUCAGAUUUUUGUACUAAGCAUAAUCUUGCUCUUGAUGCAAAAGAAACUGAGGAAUUGGCCUCUGCCUUCUGUAUUGCUAAUCCCUUGACCAAAGCAAUUGGAGAUCAGGGCCCACUUAGCACUGCUAUUAAGCGGAAACAGUAUUUCAAAGACAAGUUC